rnacentral:rRNA from 1 species
UGCCAGCAGCCGCGGUAAUACGGAGGGUGCGAGCGUUAAUCGGAAUUACUGGGCGUAAAGCGCACGCAGGCGGUCUUGUCCGUCAGGUGUGAAAGCUCGGGGCUCAACCCCGGAAGUGCACUUGAAACAGCAAGACUUGAAUACGGUAGAGGAGAGAGGAAUUCCUGGUGUAGAGGUGAAAUGCGUAGAGAUCUGAAGGAACAUCAGUGGCGAAGGCGACCUCCUGGACUGAUAUUGACGCUGAGGUGCGAAAGCGUGGGGAGCAAACAGGAUUAGAUA